ensembl:lncRNA
GGGAGCCCAGGAGGGGCCAGUGUCUGGGCACAAGCACUGGGCUGGGCUGUUUGGGGAUUAACCCACCCUGGAGGUAAACAUAGGGUUUGAUUUUUUUUUUCCUUUUCCCCCAAAGGAGAGAAAUCUAACAUGCAAACUGCCAAGGCCCCAUCACUGGUCCACAACUGAGAUGGAACCAGGUCAUGUCAGUCUGGCCAAGUGGAGAGUUUCAUACUGAAUAAGGGUCACAGUGAUGAGUCUUGUGGAGAAGGCUACAGGGCAUGAGAACUGGUGGGCCCAGAGGUCCUGGGAUCUCCCACACAGCUCACAGAGGAGGAGGCAGGAAGGCAGUCAUGGGCACGCAGCCAGGCACGGCUGAGACGGGAUCUCCCACUCUCACUGUCACUAGAUGCAGCUACAUGCCUCGUUGUCACCAACAGACCCUGAAAGGAAGUGAAAUGCACUGCGUCUCAGUCAGAGCUUCUCCCAGGGUUUUUCCCCUCCUCCCAUCAGCCGGAUGCAGAUGGCAACCAAACCCCAGAGAAGACGGGGGCAAGACAGCUGGGACCCUGCAGAUCCUAUGGAGGAGACCGCCUCCAAUGACCUGAACAUCCGCCCGGGACUCGGGGGCUGAGCAAGAAGUAGUCCUCUAUAGGGUUGAGUCAUGAUAUUUGGGGAGCUAUUUGUUUUAGAAGCCAGCACAAUUCCAAGUAACACCUAGAACACCAAGGGAAGUAACCCACUCACCUGUGUGACUCGAAACAGGGAGACGGUGGCCCCAGAAAGAGCUUCAUUGGCCUCUGAUUGAGUUGAUAGAGCCGCGUACCUGCUGGGGAAGAACCACACCCUUCACUGUCAUCACAGCCUUCGCUUCCCCAAAGUCAAAGCCCACUUCUGGAGGGUGGGCCCUGGGCAAGAUGAUGGAUGCUGGGUGGAAAACAGCCUGACGGUGUUGUGGGAAUCUGCGGCAGCUCAGAGAGACCCAGAGGACCUGGGGUCCCCGCCAUUGUGGAAAGCGUGCAUAGGAAUCCUAAGCUGUAUGGGGUGGGGGCGGGGCAAUACUACCCCAGGUGACAGCAGCAGUGGUUCAGAUGCAGACGGCCAGCAGUUCAGGGACUGUGCUCAGACUCGCUGGAACACAGAGUGUGAGAGCGACUGUUUAUAUAUUGUGCAUAGCGGAUGGGACAGAGCUGGGAAACUAGAACAGGUAGGCAGACAUGCGGAAGAACAGAGAAGACUCAACUUUAGAAGCUAAGUUUAUUGCAAAAUAAACUUUGAAGCAUGUGGCUAACCCUGCACCCAGGUCAACCCCAAAGGAGCGGGGCUAGGACACCCCAUGGGCUGAGCGUCCCUGUGUGUGUCCCCAUGCCAUCCUGGCAGGCGAGGAUGAGGUAGUAUCAUGUGGGGCAGGGGUGGGGGAAGCAGGGGAGCUUUCUGGAAUCUCUGAGAUGGACGUGAAAGGGAGUCAACGACCACCCAAGGCCUCCGGGUGGUAGUGACGAGGGGACUCCCCCAGCAGAGGUGGCAGUGAGGGACAGCAGAGGGUGUGCCUGGGCUUGGAGGUGACCUGUGUCUGCUUGGAAGGCUGGACCUACCCCAUGUGUGAUACUGCUUCCUGGCGGGAAGCUGAUUCGGAGCAGAGUUCCUUUGCCAGGCGCACAAGCUCAGUGAGGAGCCAGGGGCUUGGGCUUGGCUGGUCAUUUGCAGCCCCUCCAGGCUCACAUUCGUGAAUUCCUGUGUCUCACCUCCGCAUGCACACCUGUGGGCCCACAUCUUGAACUCUGGUCUAGUUUGCAUCCCCGCUAGGAUUAGAUGGUUCCCGCGGCCAAGCCUGGCCUUCCCCAACGUGCGCUCAUCCACGCAGGAAGCUUGGCGUCUAUCCACAUGCCCUCUGCUACCUGACCUCAUUCUGCUUGUUUUUGGCCUCUCCUUUGGCCAGCUUGG